UACGGGGGGUGCGAGCGUUGUCCGGAAUCACUGGGCGUAAAGGGCGCGUAGGUGGUUUGAUAAGGGUGUGGUGAAAGUCCGGGGCUCAACCCCGGAUCUGCCGUGCCGACUGUCAAACUCGAGUGCUGUAGAGGCAGACGGAAUUCCGGGUGUAGCGGUGGAAUGCGUAGAGAUCCGGAGGAAGACCGGUGGCGAAGGCGAUCUGCUGGGCAGUUUCUGACACUGAUGCGCGACAGCGUGGGGAGCAAACAGG
rnacentral:rRNA from 1 species